rnacentral:rRNA from 1 species
AACGAACGCUGGCGGCAGGCCUAACACAUGCAAGUCGAACGCACCGCAAGGUGAGUGGCGCACGGGUGAGUAACACGUGGGAAUGUACCCUUUGGUUCGGAAUAACGUUUGGAAACGAACGCUAAUACCGGAUGAGCCCUGUGGGGGAAAGAUUUAUCGCCAAAGGAGCAGCCCGCGUCUGAUUAGCUAGUUGGUGGGGUAAAGGCCUACCAAGGCGACGAUCGAGUAGCUGGUCUGAGAGGAUGAUCAGCCACACUGGGACUGAGACACGGCCCAGACUCCUACGGGAGGCAGCAGUGGGGAAUAUUGGACAAUGGGCGGAAGCCUGAUCCAGCCAUGCCGCGUGAGUGAUGAAGGCCUCGGUUGUAAAGCUCUUUCGUCACGCGACGAUGAUGACGGUAGCGUGAGAAGAAGCCCGGCUAACUUCGUGCCAGCAG